CUCCCUAGGACAUGAGGAAGAAGAAGACCCGGCCCUGCACCCUCGGAGAUGGUCCUCCCUGGACCCAGAGCAGUGAAACCCCCAGAGAAGGCCAACCCAUUUGUGGCUGUCAGUGGCCUUUACUAGCCUAUGAAGCAGGUGGCCAUUCCUCCUUCCCUGGCGCUGUGGAUCCCGAUGGGCCGAGAUACCCCUUGGGUUCCCCCUGCCCUCCCACCCACCCCUUCCUUACCUGGAUUCACCUGGAUGGAGGCCUGGCUGCUGGGGGCCAUGGAGGAAGAGGGGCAGCGCAUCCCACUUGCAGGGCCGCUCCGGAUGAAGGAUCCAAGGGACAGUGACCAUCGAGGGCCCAUGACCACCGAGGGACGCUGAACAUCAAAGGACCCUGGCCAUCAAGGGACAUUAACCUCAAGGGAGCCUGACCAUAGAGGAAGCCUGACCAUUGAGGAACACUUAACAUCAAGAGACCCUG
rnacentral:lncRNA from 11 species